rnacentral:rRNA from 1 species
CCUACGUGAUGCAGCAGUGGGGAAUAUUGCGCAAUGGGCGAAAGCCUGACGCAGCGACGCCGCGUGAGGGAUGAAGGUCUUCGGAUCGUAAACCUCUGUCAGCAGGGAAGAACGGUCACUGUGCUAAUCAGCAGUGAAUUGACGGUACCUGCAAAGGAAGCACCGGCUAACUCCGUGCCAGCAGCCGCGGUAAUACGGAGGGUGCGAGCGUUAAUCGGAAUUACUGGGCGUAAAGCGCUCGUAGGCGGUAUGUCAAGUCAAGGGUGAAAUCCCCGCGCUCAACGUGGGAACUGCCUUUGAAACUGGCAAACUGGAGUGUGUGAGAGGAGAGUGGAAUUCCAGGUGUAGGAGUGAAAUCCGUAGAUAUCUGGAGGAACAUCAGUGGCGAAGGCGACUAUCUGGCACAUAACUGACGCUGAGGAGCGAAAGCGUGGGUAGCAAACAGGAUUAGAUACCCCUGUAGUC